rnacentral:snoRNA from 1 species
AGGGUGGAUGAGGAGGACGUCAUCUCCCACAUCCUGGCCGGGCUUGAAGAAGAGUUCGACCCUGUGGUCUCCGCCAUGUGCUCCCGAGUGGAGCCAGUCACCGUGCCAGAGCUGUACUCGCAGCUCGUCAGCUUCGAGA